rnacentral:rRNA from 1 species
AAUUCCAGCUCCAAUAGUGUAUAUUAGAGUUGUUGCAGUUAAAAAGCUCGUAGUUGGAUUUCUGCUGUGGUCAUCCGGUACCGCCCGUACGGGUGCGCACCUGGUUUGGCUGCGGCUUUCUUCCUGUAGCCAUCCGCGCUUAAUUGCGUGUGUUGUGUUGCGGAACUUUUACUUUGAGAAAAAUAGAGUGUUUCAAGCAGGCUUGUCGCCCUGAAUACUUCAGCAUGGAAUAAUAGGAUAGGACCCUGGUUCUAUUUUGUUGGUUUCUAGGACCAAGGUAAUGAUUAAUAGGGACAGUUGGGGGCAUUCGUAUUUAACUGUCAGAGGUGAAAUUCUUAGAUUUGUUAAAGACGAACUACUGCGAAAGCAUUUGCCAAGGAUGUUUUCAUUAAUCAAGAACGACAGUAGGGGGUUUGAAGACGAUUAGAUACCGUCGUAAUCUCUACCAUAAACUAUGCCGACUAGAGAUAGGGAAAUGCCUACCUUGGCUUCUCCUG